rnacentral:rRNA from 1 species
UACGUAGGGUGCAAGCGUUGUCCGGAAUUAUUGGGCGUAAAGAGCUCGUAGGCGGUCUGUCGCGUCGGGUGUGAAAGCCCGGGGCUUAACCCCGGGUCUGCAUUCGAUACGGGCUGGCUGGAGUGUGGUAGGGGAGAUCGGAAUUCCUGGUGUAGCGGUGAAAUGCGCAGAUAUCAGGAGGAACACCGGUGGCGAAGGCGGAUCUCUGGGCCAUUACUGACGCUGAGGAGCGAAAGCGUGGGGAGCGAACAGG